UAACUGGCUGAUAAUUCGUGCAUACAUCUUACUUAUAGAUGUGCUAAGCUGUUUUUUAAACAUGUUAAUUUUUUUUUCUUGUAUAUCUUUAUUUGUUUGAAUUGGAUUAAAGGCCAAUACAAAGAACUAGGUGGUAGACUAUGUAAGGAACUGAACCGUACAAUGUCCGUUAAGAAGGUAAAAUGGGCUUUACAAGACGUCAGAAAGGGUCUGAGACGACCUGAAAGAGGAUCGAUUUGUCGUACGGUUCAUAGCGCGUACAUGUAUGAAUUGGGGUUUAAGCGGGUUGCGUAGACAAUUAAAGAACAACCCUACCGUGACAGAAAAAUAGAGGAAAGUAUCCGUUUAGAGAUGAAAGCCUUCUGUGGGUUUGAGGAGGGGGCGUUAUUAAACAGACCUAUACCAUCCAUAGAUGAUGUGUUGGCAGGUCUGAUAACAAUUACAAACGACCCUAGCACUGAUGGGACUAGUGCGCCGAGUAGUCCUAUCAUGCCGAGCGUUGAGAUAGUGCCGAAAGAAACUUCAGGGAGCGCAAGGACAUCAAGUUAACGUCAUUCUAAGGUAAAUGUAUUAAGAUAUAUUUCAAAAUCAAAUGAUAGGUUAAUAUUUAUCUCUAUUUUAUCCCUAUUUCUAUUUAAUUUUAGAUAAAAACUUGUAGUAAAAGCCGCCCCCAAUUAAAUUCCGCCUCAUUGUGGAAGAUGUUCAGAGUAUCACACAAGCAUUCACAUGCAGUACUUUUAUUGGCCAAUGGACGGGGGAGAGCGCUACUAUAGAUGAGCCCCUCGACCAAUUUGACCCUAUUUUUAAUACCAACAUGAGCGCUGGAAUAUCGAAUAUUUUUGCCAAAUUUGGAAUCGACUUUUUAUUUUUGCGGCCAGGAACGUGCUUAAAUCGAUUCAGAGUUUGAUGCCGAACAAGAAUACAGCUUUCGUCGGCUCGGAAGCUUCCUUCUGAGCGUUGCAAACAUUUUGACAAGAUGAACGCUGUGCCUUGGUAGUGAGUAAAACAUCUUAUAUUGGUCGCGCAAACACUAAAGCAUUUUACAUUCAGCUGCGUCCAAUUGACUCACCAACGUUAUUUCACCAAGGAUCAUUUGUUAGAACGCUGAAUUUUUACCAGUUUUAAAUUGGAUGCACUACGUUCUCCGCCAGAAAGACUGCAAAGCAUCAGUACCUAAUGGAAAUUUCUGGGCGAUUAAAAAGGGAAAAUAAAAA